AAAACGGCUCUUUUCAGAGCCACCCACUGAUCUCAUUCAAAAGAG
rfam:Neotoma lepida isolate 417 scaffold_1433, whole genome shotgun sequence.